GGCUGAUCUGAGUGCAGUGGUGUUUACAACUAAUUGAUCACAACUGGUUACAGAAUCUUUUGUUCCUUCUCUACUUACACUGCUUCACUUGAUUAGCCUUUA
rnacentral:Y_RNA from 1 species